AAAAAAAAAAAAAAAAAAAAAAAAAGCGCCUUAAAUUGGCCCACUGAUAUAAAAGCCAAAAAGUGUUUUGGCGUGAUGGAUGACAAAAUAUUGUUGAUUUUCAUAAAUAUAUUGAUUUAGGAUUAUGUUUUGAUUUUAUUGUGCAGCCUGCAAAGUUAUACAAGCUGAAGCAUCUUUCAAAGGUGGAGGUUAUAACUAAUGAUCCUAGUGGGCCAAUUUAAG
rnacentral:misc_RNA from 1 species